AAAACUCCUUUUCGGAUGCUGCCAGCUAGAGAUCUGCCACUUCACAGGCAAGAGUUAUCUGUAACCCAGACCAGGGACCAGCCCGUUUCCACGUUGCAGCCCGAAGUGGGUGAACAUGGGUUAGCAGAUGUUUUGCUGCAGACUCUAGGAGGCAAAGCAAGUGCUUCUCUGAACUGGAUGACUUGUUUGAAAACACUCCGUAGAGAAGUUGUGUGCCGUUGAGCUCUUUUGCACAUCACAUAUUUUUUUAAGUGCAUCUGGGGAGUGUGUUAAGUGGGGAACUCCGAGGCUGACUGCUCCCGGAAAGUGGAAAGUCGCUCCCUGUGCAGAGUUUGGGAAAACGAAGUUAUUUUUAUCUGCAUCUUGGGUUUUCUCAAGGCAGGGCCUCCCCCGCCCCAUCCAGGGCCAGGAGCCCAUCUUUCUUGGACUGAAAGCAAAGGUUUCCUUCCCCGUCCAGGCUGCCCAUGGACCAGGAGCGGGAGCAGUCACACAGGUUUUUCUGGAGCCUGCCCCGCCCGCUGAAGCUGAGUCCGAGGCGCUGUGCCGCCUGGUGAGCGUCCCCACCGCGUGCUCUCGGCCUCCGUCCUCUCCGCGACACUCCCAUCCCGUCUUUCCUGUGGGCCAUGCUCUCUGCUCCCAGGCCUUCCAGACGAUUCGGGAUGGCAGCCGUCUACUACACGGAGGCAAGGAGACCAAGAAGGCACCGCAUCGGGUCUGAGGCAGAGCUUCAGAUGGGGUCUACCUUUUCUGCUCGGAACGGCCGCCAGCAUUCCAGGGACAGACGCGCUGUGACCACCUCCUGCCCACCCCCACUUCCAGGCAGGAGCCUCACGCUCUGAUCGCAGGGGGCCCCUCAGGGCACGACGAGACUGUUUACCUGGCUGAAGGGCCUGACUUUUAGAAGUUGGUGAAACAAGAAGCCUUAAAGAAAGGACAUGCCAAAUGCUGGCUAAUGAAGCGGCAUUAAAAGGAUGGGAGCUUUGGGUGACCUUUCCAUCUUGCCAAAGAAAACACAGCCAUUUUUUGAGCCUUUUCAGCAUAAAAAGACAAUCUCUUAAAACGCCUGCUCAGCCACUCGCCUGUGAGGGGCAGGCUGGGAGAGCCGUCCUAAUUUGCCUGCCAUGCAUCAAAUUGAUUUAGCAGGCAACAAAUGUCAGGAGGAAUUAGAAAGGGAGUAACAGCUCAAAGAAAUUAACAAAAGGUUGACCAGCCUUCGGCAGUGUUACCGGGCUGACUUACAUAUUCACGGUGGUUCCUGGGGGUUUAUUUGCUUUUCAUCUCUAGCCUCUGCUGAUGACCAGAGCAGUUCCUUACAUUUGUGAAGCCUGAAGCACAGCUGAGGAGCUUCCCUGGGCAUUCACUUGUUUCAGGGCUGUGUGUGUGUCUGUGUGUGUGCUUUCAGGCCGGUUGCAAUGACCUUGCCUCCUCCUCCUUCCCCUCUUUAGGCCACUGUCAUGGUCAAAUACUUUUCGCAGUUUGGAGUCUUUCCCUGGACCACAAAACACUAUGCUGGCAUCAACAGGGAAAAGCCAUUCUCUCUGCCAAACAUCAUUGGGCUUGAGAAGCAGGACGGCUCCAUGCUGGGGGACCGCCUACAGCUCCUGGCUUUGUUCUU
ensembl:lncRNA